rnacentral:tRNA from 1 species
GUGGGUAUAGCUCAGUGGUAGAGCACAUGCUUAGCAUGCAGGAGGUCCUGGGUUCCAUCCCCAGUACCUCCA